GACGUAGGGGGCGAGCGUUAUCCGGAUUCACUGGGCGUAAAGGGCGCGUAGGCGGCUACGUAAGUCCGGAGUGAAAUCCCAUGGCUUAACUGUGGAAUUGCUUCGGAUACUGCGUUGGCUAGAGGACGGUAGAGGCUAGUGGAACUAGCGGUGUAGCGGUGAAAUGCGCAGAUAUCGCUAGGAACGCCGGUGGCGAAGGCGACUGGCUGGGCCGAUCCUGACGCUGAGGCGCGAAAGCUAGGGGAGCGAACCGG
rnacentral:rRNA from 1 species